rnacentral:rRNA from 1 species
AUUGAACGCUGGCGGCAGGCCUAACACAUGCAAGUCGAACGAGUGGCGGACGGGUGAGUAAUGUCUGGGAAACUGCCUGAUGGAGGGGGAUAACUACUGGAAACGGUAGCUAAUACCGCAUACCAUCGGAUGUGCCCAGAUGGGAUUAGCUCGUUGGGGGGGUAAAGGCUAACCUAGGCGACGAUCCCUAGCUGGUCUGAGAGGAUGAACAGCCACACUUGAACUGAGACACUGUCCAGACUCCUACGUGAGGCAGCAGUGGGGAAUAUUGCACAAUGGGCGAAAGCCUGAUGCAGCCAGGCCGCGUGUAUUAAGAAGGCCUUCGGGUUGUAAAGUACUUUCAGCGGGGAGGCGUUACCCGCAGAAGAAGCACCGGCUAACUCCGUGCCAGCCGCCGCGGUAAUUC